rnacentral:rRNA from 1 species
GCAGACCAUCCUACGGGAGGCAGCAGUGGGGAAUAUUGCACAAUGGGCGCAAGCCUGAUGCAGCCAUGCCGCGUGUAUGAAGAAGGCCUUCGGGUUGUAAAGUACUUUCAGCAGUGAGGAAGGUGGGUAUGUUAAUAGCAUACUCAUUUGACGUUAGCUGCAGAAGAAGCACCGGCUAACUCCGUGCCAGCAGCCGCGGUAAUACGGAGGGUGCGAGCGUUAAUCGGAAUUACUGGGCGUAAAGCGCAUGCAGGUGGUUUGUUAAGUCAGAUGUGAAAGCCCGGGGCUCAACCUCGGAAUUGCAUUUGAAACUGGCAAACUAGAGUACUGUAGAGGGGGUAGAAUUUCAGGUGUAGCGGUGAAAUGCGUAGAGAUCUGAAGGAAUACCGGUGGCGAAGGCGGCCCCCUGGACAGAUACUGACACUCAGAUGCGAAAGCGUGGGGAGCAAACAGGAUUACAUACCCUGGUAG